AUAUUUACCUGGAAGGGGAGAUACGAUGAUCUUGAAGGUGGUUUUCCCAGGGCGAGGCUUACCCGUUGCACUCCAAAUGUGCUGACCCCUGCAAUUUCCUGCGUAAUCGGUGGCAGUGGGGCGCUGGUUCCCGCUUUCCCCUAU
ensembl:snRNA U1 U1 spliceosomal RNA